CUUCACUGACCACUCCUCAGAUGGCUGUUAGAGAUCCUUCCUGGGUCUGGCUGCCUAAAAUGCAUCCAAACAUUCAGUGUCUCCACCCUCUGCGUGCAGACACUGAACUUUUCUCAAAGAGAUUCAUUGAUUCAAUUCAUCUCUAUGAGAGAUGCUGAUUGACCAGGGCUGUGUUUGAAUCAUGCUGGCUCUGCCCCUGAUCUGCCUCUUUGUCAGUCUCAG